rnacentral:rRNA from 1 species
CCUACGGGAGGCUGCAGUAGGGAAUUUUGCGCAAUGGGGGAAAGCCUGACGCAGCAACGCCGCGUGAUCGAUGAAGCCCUUCGGGGUGUAAAGAUCUGUCAGUGGGGACGAAACCUGACGGUACCCACAGAGGAAGCACCGGCUAACUCCGUGCCAGCAGCCGCGGUAAUACGGGGGGUGCAAGCGUUGUCCGGAAUCAUUGGGCGUAAAGAGUUCGUAGGUGGGACGUUAAGUCUGGUGUUAAAGGCGGAAACUCAACUUCCGUAGGGCACUGGAUACUGGCGAGCUUGAAUGCGGUAGAGGUAAAGGGAAUUCCUGGUGUAGCGGUGAAAUGCGUAGAUAUCAGGAGGAACAUCGGUGGCGUAAGCGCUUUACUGGGCCGUAAUUGACACUGAGGAACGAAAGCCGGGGUAGCAAAUGGGAUUAGAUACCCGGGUAGUC